AGCGCGGCAGCGAGCUGGGUUGGCUGCCGAGGUGCCGCGGGGUAACGGUCGCCGCGCGGCCUGGGUGUGGGUCCGGCAGGGAAGUGGGGCCGCCUCGCGCCCAUAUCCGCAGCGCCGGGCCGAGGUGAUGCCACUCCCCGCGGGCCCGGCAGGUGGAGGAGGAUGAGCGUCGUGUGCCACCUCCUGCGGGGGCAGUUGUAGCGGGGCCCCCAGCUGCCCCCCCGCUCCUGUAACAGCGGUGUACGUGGGCCGAAGGGGGUGCGGUGGCCCAGCUUUCUCCGGCCGGGCCUGACUGUAGCGGGGGGGAGGGCGAGGGCGAAGGAAGCCUGCGGGGCAGUAACAGAACUAGCAGGGGAGGCUGAUCAUUAGCCAAGUGCCCCUUGGCCGUGCGCCUGUGUGAUGGCGACAAGGCCAAAACUGGGUCAGCGCCCACAAACCACCUGCCUGAUAGGACUCUCUCAUAAUUUACACCAGGGUGAGAGAAGAAUCAGGCCCCUCAGAAUUUUUUGAAGUAAUUCCAAUGGUCAAGGAAACAGUCGGUACCAACCAGCAGGAAGAGAAGUGUUCAGGCACCGAUGGUACUCUGCAAUAGUACUAUUACCUCUGGAAAAAAUGUCCUUGGAAAUUCAGACUACAUACCACAAACUGGAACAAGAAAUGAAUCCACAAAGCCUCAGAGACAUCACCCAAUCUGUACUCCUAAAUCUCCUACCCAAAUGGAGAUAAACGGUUAAUCCAGUUAAAAACAUAUCUGUACUUACAGGACCUAAUCUGAAUUUGUUCACAAGGUCAAAGAAGUCUACUUUGUUAUAAUAAUAAUAUAAUAAAAGCACUUAAUUUUAAAACAAUUGUUAACUAUUUUAAAUCUAAGUAUAAGACUAUUUUGCAUAUCUUAUAUAAAAUGUUAACAAUCUGGUUGUUUUCUCUGUACCUUUGUGUAUCUGUGUGUUUCCUCAUAUGUAAUAGAGCAGAGGAGUGUAACAGUAAUAGCAUAUAGUGACACAUUCUAUAUGCUCACACAACUCCCAUCAAAAUGAAUGUAAAUUGUACUUGCAUACCCUAUUAAAAAUUAAUAGAAGUUGCAGCUGCAUAUCUGAGGGCAGAAUUUAGCCCACUACAUAUUAAAGUAAAUAUUUAAUAGUCAACCUAAUAAAAAUGUAAUAUAACAAUGUCAA